rnacentral:ncRNA from 1 species
UCAGUGGACAAAGUGAUUUGAGAUGAGUGGAAUCUACGUUUGUAAUACGUAGUGAUUAGGAAAUCCUAGUAACGGUGCCUCAUCAAGGCAUGGUGAAUGUGUCCCUGUUCUUUGUACACACCGCCCGUCACUAUUUCAGAUGGUCAUAGGGAUGAAGAGCUUCGGCUCUGAAUAUCUAUGGCUAGAUAAAGUACAAGUCGUAACAAGGUUUCAGUUGGAGAACCAGCUGAAGGAUCAUUU